rnacentral:rRNA from 1 species
AUUGAACGCUGGCGGCAGGCCUAACACAUGCAAGUCGAGCGGAUGAGGGGAGCUUGCUCCUUGAUUCAGCGGCGGACGGGUGAGUAAUGCCUAGGAAUCUGCCUGGUAGUGGGGGACAACGUUUCGAAAGGAACGCUAAUACCGCAUACGUCCUACGGGAGAAAGCAGGGGACCUUCGGGCCUUGCGCUAUCAGAUGAGCCUAGGUCGGAUUAGCUAGUAGGUGGGGUAAUGGCCCACCUAGGCGACGAUCCGUAACUGGUCUGAGAGGAUGAUCAGUCACACUGGAACUGAGACACGGUCCAGACUCCUACGGGAGGCAGCAGUGGGGAAUAUUGGACAAUGGGCGAAAGCCUGAUCCAGCCAUGCCGCGUGUGUGAAGAAGGUCUUCGGAUUGUAAAGCACUUUAAGUUGGGAGGAAGGGCAGUUAGUUAAUACCUGACUGUUUUGACGUUACCAACAGAAUAAGCACCGGCUAACUUCGUGCCAGCCGCCGCCGUAA